rnacentral:rRNA from 1 species
GGCUCAGAUUGAACGCUGGCGGCAUGCCUUACACAUGCAAGUCGAACGGUAACGCGGGGCAACCUGGCGACGAGUGGCGAACGGGUGAGUAAUACAUCGGAACGUGCCCAGUAGGUGGGGGAUAGCCCGGCGAAAGCCGGAUUAAUACCGCAUACGACCUAUGGGUGAAAGCGGGGGACCGCAAGGCCUCGCGCUAUUGGAGCGGCCGAUGUCAGAUUAGGUAGUUGGCGGGGUAAAAGCCCACCAAGCCUGCGAUCAGUAGCUGGUCUGAGAGGAUGAUCAGCCACACUGGAACUGAGACACGGUCCAGACUCCUACGGGAGGCAGCAGUAAGGAAUAUUGCUCAAUGGCCGAAAGGCUGAAGCAGCAACGCCGCGUGGAGGAUGAAAUACUUUAGUAUGUAAACUCCUGUAAGAGGGGAAAAAUAUACAGCUAUGCUGUGUUGAUUGUACCCUCAGAGUAAGCACCGGCUAACUACGUG